CUACUUUGAGCUGAGUUGUUAAAAUUCUGGGCAACGUGGAUGAGCCUCUGGGGGUGGUUCUAAGCAGAGCCUGGUGUGGCGGGUCCCGGCUGUCCAGGUGGGAGGUCCUGUGAGCCCUGCACGUGUCCGUGCUGACUUGGAAGUUACCAGAACCCUGUGCGGGAGACCUGCCCCUGUCCCUCAGUCAGGGUGGGCCGGUUCCUCUCACAGAAGCCUUCCUUGGUAGGGGUGCGGGGGAAAGCAGGACCGGGAGCUGACUGGGACUGUUAUUUUUGGAGUACUUUUAAAAUUCCAUUUUUAAAAUGAACACAGUCAAAUUGAGCUUCCCCCUCCCGCAGUGUACACGUCUGAGUCUUAACACGUGGUAGGUGGGUGCACCCCCCAAGGCACUUAGGACGCAGAGCAGGGCCAUCAGUCCAAGACAUCUUCAAGCUGCUCCUCUGUCGUCACGUCCUCUCCUGACCGCUGUCCUCAGUCACCUCUGGCCUGCUCUCCAUCACUGUCCUGUAAAGAGAAUGACAGCACCAUCUGUUGACUUCCGCUGCUCGCUGUGGGAGAGAAGUUUUGAAGACUGGCUUCCGGCUCAGCCUUUGAGAUUCAUCUAAGGACAGGGAGUGAGCCCAGGGUGCUCUAGCCCUGAGCUACAUCCACAGUCCUUCUUUAUUUUGAGACGGGGGUCUCUAAGUUGCCCAGGCUGGACUCGAACCUGUGAACCUCCUGCCUCAGCCUCUGGAGUAGCUGGGACUACAGGAAUAAAUUUCUGAAUACACAAUGGAAGAUACAAACCAGAUUCCUGUGGACCUGCUCACAUUUCAGGCUGAAGAACAGACAUGAGGGCCACUGUGGGCCAUGCCUCCUGACCCAUCCAGACCAGAGACCUCGAGCUGAUUUCCUCAGUUCAUGAACUCCCCCCUCUCCAGCCAGUGCUUGUUGGGAGGGUCUCCCACCAACACGGAGAGCAGAUGUGUACUCUGUGUGUCUCACAGUCCUUGGAGUUGCAGGAUGUCUCCAUGAAUGAGCCAUCUGCGAAUUCCUCGACCUACCUAGGGCUGGAAAGGAAAUGAGGAAAGCCUGCGUCCUGGCCUGGGAUGAAGAGGAUGGGAUCCUGUCUCCCUCAUUUCACCACAGGGAAAGCCAUCUUCUGAGUACGAAGCAGAAAAGAGCACUUGAGUAUAAUUUAUUUAUUCGCCUAAUUUGCUAAUGUGCAUGGAUGAGCUUAUUGAUCGCUCUGGCGCAGAAACGGUGGCCUCCCCUGCCCGGGGUGCACAAGGAGCUUGGAUCUGGCCACGUCUUCCUGGACGUCCCCUCUUUGUUCUGCUGCCCCUCUUUCCUUUUGUGCCGUAAGAUACCUUCAACCUUCUUGUUGAGAGAUCAAUAAGAAGAGAUGUCAUUUGUGAAUUUCGUAAUGACAUCCUGAAAGUGGUUGAAUAAUACAGCAGUCUGUGAUGGGAGAGAGGAGGGGAGGCUUCUUGUCCUGCUCUCUGAUCUCAGUCCAAACCAGGGUGGUGUCUGUUGUCAUUUUCAUCCAAGAAGCUGUGUGUCAGGCUCUGUCCCCUGCUUUCUUCAAAGAACCCCUCUCCCCCUGCAUAGAUGCCUGAUGUCUCCUAGCAUCCAUCCAUACCCAGGAUCACCCCACCCCUGGCCUGGAGCAGCCUGGCCCUGAGCUGGGUCCCUGGAGGCCGGGAUGCAGAGAGAUCAGAUGUAAUAAUGCCAGGACUCAGCGUCAGGUGAGACGGCAUGGGGUGGGGGUGGGGCGAAUGCCACUCGGACUCCAUGGCCAGGUUCAAGGCCCCUCCUUUCAUCCUGGUUCUCUUCCAGGUCCCUUGUCCCCUGGCUCAGUCCUCCACCUGGGCGCCGCUUGAGAAGUGCUAUCUUUUUUCUAGUCGGUACCCUGUCCCAGGAAAACAGUUAGACCCCUGUACCCCAACCUGUGGGCCCCUCUAUGACCUAAAGACAGAGCCACCUCUGUGUAUCUCCUGCUCCUGGGUGAUCUGCCACUCAUCACCUGUUACUGGUCCUUGGAGACUAGGGUCCCCCUGCCUGCCAGGGCCUCCUCCAUCACCUGCCAGGUGCUCCCACCCACCUCCCCCAGCACUCUGUGGACAUGCCCCCUGAGUGGUCCCAGCCCCUCCUGCACCCCGCAGGCCACUCCAUCCUCUGCCCUCUCCCUGGGAGUGGAGCUCCUGUGCAUGGUGGAGAUCAAAAGUGGCCACUGGCAAGGCCCUCUUCAGGUUGCUCUAGGACUCAUUGGCCAAAGUGUGGUGCCCACACCCCUGAUGGAAUCAGGUGCUUUGGGGAGGGACACUGAAGCACUUAAUUUGCACAGUGACCACAUAUAGUCUACCUCGGCUCAGAGUCUAUGGACCCCAGACAGACUGAAAACCUGACAUGAGGGCCACUGUGGCUCCUCUGCUCAUCAGCUGUGGAACCUCAGCAAGUUACUGAUCAUGUCUGUGUCUCAUUUGUUACAUGGGCAUGAUAAUAAUGGCCCCUACCUCAUAAGAUGCCUAUGUGGACCAAAAUGAGCGAAUGCAUGUGAAACGGUAAGUUGAAACGUUAAUGUUAAGAGCACGCAGGGAUUGCACCUCAUGAAAGUUGUUGAUUAUUUUGUAAAUAUUAGUAUUUAAAUUUUAGCUAAUUAAAAAGAGAAGUGAGUUUGUUUAAAAAAUAUGUAAAUGAUAAUACAGUUGAUACUUAAACAUUGAGAGGUGAGUACACCCAACUGGGAAGGCUGAGCUGCUGCAACAGAUCUCCCAGAUUCAGUGGUAUCCAGUACUUGAGUAUUUUCUUGAUGGAGGAUAGGUACCUCAGGUUAGCAGGUAAUUUUCCUGCAUGUGGUGUUUCUGGGCCCCAGGGUCCCUGUGUCUCAUUGUCAUCAUGUGCAUAGCAAUGCCCAGGUUGAUGCCUUCAGGUUCUAGUGCACGGAGAGGGGCAAGGAACAGCACGAAGAGGCCCCGGGAGCUCUGACGGUCCCUCCCCCAGAGGCGGUACUUGCUCUCCAGCUCAUAUUUGAGCAAAACUUAUCGCAGAACUCACACCUGGCUGCAAGGGAGCCUGGGAAAGGAGUCUAUCAGGUCUCAGGCUUUGAUGGCAGCUAACUGACUUGGAAGGUGGGCCCAGUCUACUCCUGAGAGUUCUUAUAAGUGGACGAUCUUUUCAGACUACGGCUGGAGAACCAGAAAGAUGGCAGCAUGAGAAGAACUCAGCCUAACGCUGCUGGCUUCGGAGACCAAGGAAGCGCCAUGAUCCAAGCAAACUGGGAAGCUCUAAAAACUGAUGGUGAAAUUUAAUCCUGGCUGAAAACAGGCAUUAAGAUACGGGAUCAGGUGCAGGGAUUGCACAUUAAAGGUGAUUAGGGCAGGAGUGCUUUUCCUCCUGAAGGAUUAAGCCAUUUGCAGGUUAAGGGAUUAGUGGGCUAUCUUAAGAGUGGGUUUGUCAUAAAAGUCAGUUUGACUCUGUCUCUUGGAUGUGACCCUCUUGCUAUGUGGCACCCUUUACUACCUUUGAGGUCUGAGAGGGUCUCCAGCAAGGAAGAGCCCAAGAUGUGCCCCUCCAUGGAAGGACUCCCAGCCUCAGAGGCAUGAGCUGCACAGUCCUCGACUCCUUGCAAGCCACCUGGCCACUCCGCCACAGCCACAGAAACAGACCAGCCCAGACCCAGAGGACCCCCAGAAGGGCAUGUGGCCCUGUCAGUGCUUUGAUCUUAACCCAGAGAGGUCCAUGCCAGACUUCUGUCCUCCAGAACUGUAAGAUAGGAAAGCUGUGCUGUUUUAGGACACCAGGUGGCCAGGGAUUUUUCACAAUAGCAAUUGAAAAAAAUCACAUGAGAACCCAUAUCCCUGGUUGAGAAGAAAUGUUAAAAAAGAAGGAUGGAGACACCAAAAACCAUUGACGGUAACCAGAGGUGAGGGGACAUGGGUGACAACCAAGGAGGCUGAGGGUCUGGGGACAGUCCAUUUACUUGUCCUUGGCCAUGAAGUAAGCUAAUGCUGGCCAAGGCACAACCCCAAGGAUUUCCAUUCAUCCCUGAAAGUCACCUACACUGUGGGGACCCCAGAAGCCCUGCUCAUUCCCAUAGUCCUGGCAGAGAGCUCGGGCUGUUCAAGUGAACUGUCACUGGGCCUUUUCUCCAAUCAAGCUUCCCAUUCAGCAAAACAACCCAAGAAGCUGUGGUUGCAAAGGCCACCCUCCAGAGGCUCCGUGACACCCCCAGGUAGCCAGUCUUGAACCCAAGCCACCAACCUUUACACAGAAGUCGUUCCAGCAAAUAUAAAAUGAGGAAAGCAACAUGGGGCUCAUGAACUCACAUCCGCAUGGCAGGUUGUGGGCAAAUGAAACUCCAUCCAAAACACCCAGAGAUGGGUUCUAGACUUCAGAGAGAGGAUGGAAUCAGGGCCUAAUAAAUGCCUCGAGCUCACCCCCACCUCCCCGAGUACCCAUCCUUUUUCUGGCCAGCUGGGAGCACGACUUGAUGGGCAGGACCAGGACUGGUUGGGCAGGGCAGUUCCGGUGUGGGACUGAGUGUGGAAGCCUUCUGGAGCCUUCUGGCCCUUUCACAAAUCAUGCCUCCCUGAGCCCCUGGUUGUCCCCUGCCUUUGCCAGCUGCCUGGUCCACUGGGGCCUGAGUCCUCUGAGCAGUGUCAGUCUCACGUAGUGGUGGUGAUGUUGUGCAGGGAAAGCUCACCCCUGCCUCUCCUCCAUGUACCCAAAGCCAGCUCAGCCCCCAUCCCUGCUCUUCCCCAGGAGCAAGUGACAGUGACCAGGUGCUGCAGGCCUUGGGAGGCUCCUCCUGCUCGCUGAUGGCUCAUUUUCACUUACAGCAUACAAAGACAGUCUCAGGGUUCUACAAACGUUUACUAAAUCAAGAAAAGAUGCACACAUCAAUGAGAGGCUUCAGCUGAGCUACAUUUCAGGAGAGCGUUGCAGGCCAGGCAGCACCCGGGGUGUCAUCUGGGGGCUGUAAGUGAAAAGAUGGGCACAGAGACAGAAGGAGAGAGAGGGCAUGUGCUAGGGCAGACGGCUCGACUGGUUCCCCAAGGGCCGUGACUCUGUGCAUAAGCAAGACAAGGUGGGACAGGCCCAGCUCACCAUCCCCAGGGGUAGGUCACAUUGUUUCUCCCAACAAGAAUGUAAUAACUUUGGUGUUGUGCUUUAUUUGCUAUUUCCCUCUCCUCCUAGACAAUAAGCUCCAAGUGUGCAGAGAAUAUCUGUCUCUGUGCUCUGCACAGAAUGGUACACUGCAAGCACUCAAUAAAUGUUUAAUGACUAAGUCAUUGAAUAGACACUUCACGGAUUGGCAGAUCAAUCUGUGGAUGAUCUGUUGAUUAAAAAGGUGCCCAGAUUAAGAACUCUUUUGAUGGGGCUUCCAUGGAGGAGCUGGUGGCUGAACUGGAACUUUAGACUCUUGAGUUUUAGAGGUGAUCCAACAGCAGAGAGAAGCCUUGGGUCAAGUUCAGCCCCAGGGCUGGUGUGCACUUGGCAGGCAGAGAGCUGCUGAUUGCUUUUUCAGGGUGGACUGUUGGGAAAAGAUGUGGAACAGUGUGCUUUCGUGUACAUAUUUAUUUAGGACUUGUGUACACGUGGGACUGUGGGUAUGAAUUGUGUCUAUUAGAUCACAGAGGUUCUGUGUCUGCUGCCUGCUUUCCAGUGGGUGCUGUGUGCCCACCCUCUGAUGAGCUGCUGGUGAGCCUGGGGCAAGAGGUGUGGCCUGGAUGGGGGACCUGGUGCUGAUGCCUGUUUCCCCCAAUGCCUAGGCUUCCUCAGGGAUGGUGAUUUUAACGGCAAUAGCAAUGCCCAAUAUUUAUUGAGUACUGAGAGGCUGAAAUACAAACAAUGGCCAGACCAAAGACAAUAGGACCUCACUUUCCAACCCUGCAUCAAUCCGCCCAGAAAGCCAAUCCGUAACCUCCCAGCAUUCUGUUGUAACAGCCAGGCCCUGCCAUGAGCUUCUGGAUGCCCUGCUUCCUCCCCAGGAUCGACCAAAGCAAGCCUAACCAACUCCCCCAACUAGUCACACGGUUAACCUUUCUGGUUAGCCUACCUCUGGCUUCCCCAGGCCAUCAGCCUCCAAUCAGAGCACACGCGAAACCCUCUGUUUUUCCACGAUAAAUGCUCCCUCCCCUCUGUGUGCCCUUGAGCUUCUGUCCAGCACAAAUGAUGGUGAACCACCCCCUUGCAAUACCAAGCCCUGAAUAAACAGCCUGUGUUUGUUCCCA